rnacentral:rRNA from 1 species
UCGAGAAUCAUUCGCAAUGGGCGCAAGCCUGACGGUGCGACGCCGCGUGGAGGAUGAAGGCCCUAGGGUCGUAAACUCCUGUCAUCAGGGAGUAAUGGCUCGUGAAGUAACUAUCACGGGUCUUGAUAGUACCUGAAGAGGAAGGGACGGCAAACUUCGUGCCAGCAGCCGCGGUAAUACGAAGGUCCCAAGCGUUGUUCGGAUUUACUGGGCGUAAAGAGUCUGUAGGCGGUAGAGUAAGUCAGAUGUG